AUUGAACGCUGGCGGCAGGCCUAACACAUGCAAGUCGAGCGGAUGAAGGGAGCUUGCUCCUGGAUUCAGCGGCGGACGGGUGAGUAAUGCCUAGGAAUCUGCCUGGUAGUGGGGGACAACGUUUCGAAAGGAACGCUAAUACCGCAUACGUCCUACGGGAGAAAGCAGGGGACCUUCGGGCCUUGCGCUAUCAGAUGAGCCUAGGUCGGAUUAGCUAGUUGGUGAGGUAAUGGCUCACCAAGGCGACGAUCCGUAACUGGUCUGAGAGGAUGAUCAGUCACACUGGAACUAAGACACGGUCCAGACUCCUACGGGAGGCAGCAGUGGGGAAUAUUGGACAAUGGGCGAAAGCCUGAUCCAGCCAUGCCGCGUGUGUGAAGAAGGUCUUCGGAUUGUAAAGCACUUUAAGUUGGGAGGAAGGGUUGUAGAUUAAUACUCUGCAAUUUUGACGUUACCGACAGAAUAAGCACCGGCUAACUCUGUGCCAGCCGCCGCCGUAACAC
rnacentral:rRNA from 1 species